AUAUGAAGUUGAGGACAUGGUGGGUCAUCUAGAAUGAAAUUCCAGAUUUCCCUGGGUCUUCCAGUAGGAGCUGUGAUCAACUGUGCUGACAUAUGUAUAAUCUCUGUGAAGGGAAUCAAGGGAUGCCUGAACAGACUUCUUACUGCUGGUGUGGGCAACAUGGUGAUGUUAAGAAAGGCAAACCAGAAGUAAGAAAAAAGAUCCAUCCAGCAGUGGUAAUUUGACAACAAAAGUUACAUUGAAGAAAAGAUGGGGUGUUUCUUUGAUUUGAAAAUGAUGCAAGGGUUACAGUAAACAAUAAUGGUGAGAUGAAAGAUUCUGCUAUCACAGGUCCAGUUGCAAAGGAGUGUGAAGACUUGUGGCAAGUAUUGCAUCCAAUGCAGACAGAAUU
rnacentral:lncRNA from 1 species